rnacentral:rRNA from 1 species
AGUGAACGCUGGCGGUAGGCCUAACACAUGCAAGUCGAACGGCAGCACAGUAAGAGCUUGCUCUUACGGGUGGCGAGUGGCGGACGGGUGAGGAAUACAUCGGAAUCUACUUUUUCGUGGGGGAUAACGUAGGGAAACAUACGCUAAUACCGCAUACGACCUACGGGUGAAAGCAGGGGAUCUUCGGACCUUGCGCGAGUGAAUGAGCCGAUGUCGGAUUAGCUAGUUGGCGGGGUAAAGGCCCACCAAGGCGACGAUCCGUAGCUGGUCUGAGAGGAUGAUCAGCCACACUGGAACUGAGACACGGCCCAGACUCCUACGGGAGGCAGCAGUGGGGAAUAUUGGACAAUGGGCGCAAGCCUGAUCCAGCCAUACCGCGUGGGGGAAGAAGGCCUUCGGGUUGUAAAGCGCUUUUGUUGGGAAAGAAAAGCAGCAGGUUAAUACCCCGCUGUUCUGACGGUACCCAAAGAAUAAGCACCGGCUAACUACGUG